rnacentral:rRNA from 1 species
AACGUACGCUGGCGGCAGGCCUAACACAUGCAAGUCGAACGCCCCGCAAUACGGGAGUGGCAGACGGGUGAGUAACGCGUGGGAAUCUACCCAAUGGUACGGAAUAACUCAGGGAAACUUGAGCUAAUACCGUAUGUGCCCGAAAGGGGAAAGAUUUAUCGCCAUUGGAUGAGCCCGCGUCGGAUUAGCUAGUUGGUGGGGUAACGGCCCACCAAGGCGACGAUCCGUAGCUGGUCUGAGAGGAUGAUCAGCCACACUGGGACUGAGACACGGCCCAGACUCCUACGGGAGGCAGCAGUGGGGAAUAUUGGACAAUGGGCGCAAGCCUGAUCCAGCCAUGCCGCGUGAGUGAUGAAGGCCCUAGGGUUGUAAAGCUCUUUCGGCGGGGACGAUAAUGACGGUACCCGCAGAAGAAGCCCCGGCUAACUUCGUGCCAGCCGCCGCAGUAA